AAGUGAGAGAGAAGAAAACACCUACUGAAUAAAAGUUUGAAAGUUACAAAUCUUAAGAACCUAAUAGCUCUACAAAAUAUUUAGUUGUAAUUCUGCUUGUUGGAGGUUGAAGUUCAAACAUUGACAUCCUCCAAAAUACACAAGGAUAGCUUGCUGACAGUACUUUCACUUCUAUAAUUGGAACUUCCCAAUAUUUGCAGUUCUGAAGCCUUUCCUUUACAUCACUGUAGCCUAGUUUUCACUUUCAGCCCUGCAACCUGCAACCUCCACCCCCAUGCUCUGGGGCAAUGCUUUCAACUCUGCACCAGGAGUGACCUGACAGGUCUGUUGUGUUGAAUUUGGGGUGGGACACUGAUAGGUUAAUUGACUUUCCUUUUCUUCCUCUCACUUUAUAGCUUUAAUCUAAAACUACUUGGGAUCACAUUGCUCAGAACAUAACAACAGGAGUCAAAGGUCGUUUAAACAUCUAAUAGACUUUAACCAAUGAUGGGUAGCACAAAGCUUAAAGGGCAAUCAGAGCUGCAGCAUCAUCAGCUGAACAAAACCUGCUCCAAUCAACACUAUUAGCCUAAUGAGUGACAAUGGAAGCACGCAUUUAUAGGUGGAAAAGUUGUUUGGGGGGAAGGGAAGGGAAGAUGUUUGUUUAGUUUUGGGGGACUUCUUCAUUUUUCUGUUCUACAUGCAUUUUUGUUUUUAAAUUCACUUUUAUCCAGUAAUAUACAUUUUAUUUAGAGUUUGUGGGCUGUCAGCUGUAAAUCCUUGGUAGUAAAUCUGUAUGCAUACAAGUGCUCACAAGUGUUCAGGCUCUGAAAUUGCUAUCUACUGGUGAUGUCAGAGAAUUGUGGGACUUCAGGAAGGAUUCCGACUAAAUCAGUCUCUAGUGCAUCAGCCACUCACAGGGCUUACUUUGUUCUCUUUGUCCUAAAGAGUAUGUGCUUUUCAUGCUAUGAAGAAACGAGUGAGUUGAAGCCAUUUGACUAGGCUCUCUCUACAGUCAACAAGAAAGAACAACGUUCAUGGAGGGCAACCCAACUGAGUGCUUUUAGAAGAGAUGGGCUAUCACUUGAGGGUGUCCAUUCUUCCAUUUAAAGGAUAAAUCCUUUUUGUAUCCUUCUUCAGAGGGGGUGUGUGGGGGGUGGAAAUCUCUUCAGAUCAUGUAGCUGACUACUUACCUGGCUAAAGUUAUGCAAGGAAUAGUUCAAGAAAUCACCAAACUAUCAAGUAAUAUUUGACGUUGGUUAUGAUCUUUGUUAUGCAAAAGUUAUUUCAUCCAAAAGUCAUUUUUGUCUCAUGAGAAAUCCCAGGAAGGGUUUUUAUAAUAUGAGACCUAACAUAUCUAGACAUUGGUCUAGAGUCUGAAUACUGUGUUUUGAGUUCUUUUCUCUGUUCAGAAUUAGGAAAGAAGUUAAAGCUCUUCCUGUGUACUUGUUCUAAAAGAAAUCUGCUAUUUUCUGACAUGCAGACUUUUAGGCUAGUUCGCAUAAUCUCCAGUGUUGCAAAUCGUUCUAAACAAUUUAACUCUCAAUUAUGGAUAUAAAACCAUGUUACUGAAACCUGCAAUAUUCACAUUCAACUGUUCUCAGACUUCAGAGUAGUUUUUUUCCAUUUCUGUAAUGAUUCCUUUUAUCACACAGUAAGUUUUUAUGCUUAUGAAAAUGCAAACAUACGAGUCUCACUGAAAAAUUCGGUAUGCUUAAUUCAAACAGAACUGUGUGAAAGAUGAAGUCAUGUGAACUGUGAAAAGGCUACUAAUUCUUCCUUAAUGUAAUAAGGUUUUUUUUGUUUUGUUUUUGUGCUUUGUUUUUUUUUUUUUUUUUUUUUUUUUUUUUGACAGAGCAGAUGAGGCAGCUCUUUAUAGAGAAGAUGACGCUUUCAAAAGGUGGCCUGUCAGAGGCCAGUUGCAUUCUUGGAAGUAGGCACUCAAUAAAUAGGAUACCAACUUGUUUUGAAUUCAAAUAUAAACACACUAAUAUUGCGUAACUAGUUUAAAAAAAAAGUAUAACAAUUUUCCUAGCCAAUGUCCUAGCAAAAGUAGUUUUGUCAUUUCUAGGAAGAGGCCACAGGCUUUAUUCUAACUCUGCCAGGCUGUAGUCUUAUCUGUGAGGCUUGUUGCAAGAACCUCCUGGGUGAAUACAAACUUGAUCUAGCAUCUCAUGUUAUAUAAACAAUUUGAACAGGGGAUAGCAGUGAAGUCUUUGAAAAUAUGGUUGCAUGUUGAAACAGAGCCCCUAGAACUAAGUCAGCAAUGUGUUGACCACUCACUGGUGAUCAGUACUGGGCACUAAAAAGAUGUAAAUGGGAGAGCUGUGAAAAGACUGCUUUUGCUCCAGGGAGGUGGUGGUGGGGGAACAGCAGCCUCUCCAAGAGAGUUUAAAGAAAAAUAAACAUAAAAACAACAAAAUAAUCCACAAAACAAAAAGCAGCAGACCACAAUGAAAGUAGCAGCCCCAUGGCAUCCUGCAGUGCAGAAGUUAAUGGAUAAGAAUUCUCUAGAUACCAAAAUAUUUUAUAAAAGACAACAUGGAACAUAAAGGUCAUAAAGAAUGAAUUUUCCCCCUUUGAUUCCAGCUUCCUCUGAAGAAUUCUCAAAACUGGCCUUCUGGCCACCUUUUUUGCCUCAAGGGCUAGGAUUAUUAAGGACAGGAGCCUUGGCCCUAACUACAUGUUGCUAUGUGGGAAAGCACAUUCAAAGCUAUUUAGAGGAAUAUUUUUAAAAGAAUCCAUUUGACUAUGUGCUGAUGGUUAUUAGUAAGUACCAGAAAAACACACAACAAAGCCAGCUGUGUGUGGUGUUAACAUUAGACAAGCCACUUAACAUCAGACAGGUCAUAGACUUCUACAAAAUCUAUAAGGCAUGUGGGAUUAGAAUUUAAGUCUGUCCUUAUUCAUGUGUGUUCUAAAAACUCCCAUCACAGCAGUCUCUAGUUCUCUGAUUAGUACAGGAGUAGAGUUGCAACAUAGUAAGGGUCUAGUAAGGUGUUUUAUACUCAGUAGUGAAAGAAUCAAAUAUUUUAUGUAUUAAAAGAAGAUAUAUUGUUUAAUAUAUUUAAAUACAUAAACUAGUGUUUAUGUAUUUCAUGUUACAAGACAACUUAGGAAUGCAUGGGAAAGACUUAGAAAAUAUAAUGGAAAUUCUCACCUAAUCUGAGAAGUCUCCAAUAUAAAUUUCUGCAUCUAGUCUAAGUUUUGAGCCUCCUUUCGUAUUCAGCGGAGUGAAAUAAACUCCUUUGAAAGUCUCGUCAUAUGUACUAUUUUUGCCUCUUGUCAUAGUUAACAGCUUCCGCCAAUUUGAAAAGGAGGUUGUGUCACAGCAGCUCAGUAAGAAUUCACCCAAUGUCAUGUGGCAAUAAUGAAGACUUCCAUGGUUAAUAAGACAUAACCAUGACAAAGCAUAAACAACUUUUAUAGGUAAAAAUUAGCUUGAAAAAAAAAAAAAAUUAGCUUGAAAUCAUGUGUGAAAAUGUAUGACUUCAAAAUAUAUGUGUGAUAUGUUCUCUGUGAGUAUUAUUUUCCACAGGAAUUUGGGAAGUUGGAGAAGUCCAGUGUCAAAGAUAGAGUAGCAACUUACUUACAAAGCCAUUGACUGCUCUAGCAGGGUCUGCCCUGAAAUAAUUUAUUUAAAUACCCUUCUCUGUUUUGUUUUGUUUUUGUUUUUGGAUGAAGCAUUGUCAUCGAAUACUGCUGCUAAUGAUCCAUGUCAACAUGUGUGUUAAUAGACUGUUAUAACAAAGACGACUGGAAUACACUCAAUGAUAUAAUUUAACAAACACUAUAGCAAGAUUCUCAUAAGAAUUCCUGCCAACUCUGGGGUCAAAGGUCUGGCAGUGUGAGGCCAGAUGCAUGCUCUUGUCUAGUAUCAUUGCAUGUAGAGUAUGUGCAGUGGUAAAAUUAUAUCAAAGAUGCAAGAGAUUAUCAAAAUUUCUUCUACCUCACUUGAAAUAUGAACUGUAGGUAUCUCCAAUCCCUGUCAUAUCAAACAACACUGUUCUCAAAUCUUUGUAUUAAAGGAAUCCUAUCACCUCCCUAGA